CGGGUUGUGGCAGGGUGUGUGGCGUGUCGCUGACGCCUGCCGCCCCGGUCCUGCACCGGGCAGCCCGC
rnacentral:tRNA from 1 species